AGCCGUCGAAGGAACUCCAGGAGAAAAGGUAACAUUUCCUCUGCUGGAGGAGUUGAAAAUUAAUGUCUGCCCGAAGUUGACUGAUCUACCUGAAGCACCGAAGCUAAGUGAAUUAGCCAUCAGUGCGCGUGGACAUGGUCAACAAAUAUCCCUGCAGGCAGCUAGCAGAUGCAUUCCUUCACUGUCCAGGCUGCGUCUGGAUGUGUCUCCCGAUGACACGGAAACAAUAUUGCUGCAUGUCAGCAGAAAUGCAAUCAAGAACUCCCCCUGGCAGCUAUGAUGUUAACUAGGUGCGACCUUUUGUUUUCCUCCCACUCAAAUGCACUAGCGUUGUGGACAUGUUUUGCACGGCUAGUAGAUCUUAGAAUUUGGGAUUGCGAUGCUCUUGUCUACUGGCCAGAAAACGUGUUCCAGGUCCUGGUAUCCCUAAGGAGGUUAUCGAUUUGGAGUUGCAGCAAACUGACAGUACACACACAAGCUUCUGACGGGCAAUCUGCUCCAGAACGGGGUGGACUCCUGCCACGUCUGGAAUCUCUAUGGAUAAAUGGUUGCACAUCUUUGGUAUUGGUCCCCAACCUGCCGGCAUCUCUCAAGACAUUACAUAUUGCUAGCUGUAGUGAUAAUAUCAAGUCCAUCAUAUUCGGUCAGCAUGAGUAUGUGACGCUGGUGGGUGGAGAAGGUGUCGUACAGCCGGACACGUCAUCAUUAAUUCCAGGGUCUUGCGGUAGUGAGGCCACGGCGUCUACAGCUGUACUGAAGCUGUCAUCAGCAGCCAACCAUCGCUCCCUUCCAUGCCUAGAAUCUCUAAGUAUAUGGAGAUGCGAUUGUUUGUCAGAGGUUGCCAAUCUUCCUUCGUCUAUCAAGAUCUUGGACAUUUAUAGCUGCGGCAAUCUACAAUCCCUAUCAGGAAAGCUAGAUGUCGUCCAAAAAUUAAAUAUUAUUUCAUGUAGUCGGUUGGAAUCACUGGAAUCUUGGAUAGGAGAGCUGUGGUCGCUGGAAGUACUCAUGCUUUAUGGUUGCAAAAGCCUGGUAUCCUUACUGGAUGGGCCUCAAGCAUACUCAUCUCUUAGAGUUCUUCAGAUUCAAGAUUGUGAUGGUAUAAAGUCAUUUCCGCCGGGCCUUCAGAGCUGUUUGGAUUGCCUCGAGGUGAAACAUAUAGAUGCCUGUUACGAAGGUAAUAUCCAGUUCCUUGUUUCUUUUAACAAAAUGAUCAGGAGCUCAAUUGGUGUUGUCUGAAACGCAACUCUCCACUUAAACAUUCUGUUAGUUAUUACAAGAUAUGGUACAGCGGUAGGCUUCAGUGAUAAAAACUUUGCGAGUGUGGUGUUUAAAACCUAAAGGCAAACAUUGAUGAUAUAUACAUUAUAUCGAGGACAAUGCACCAGUAAUACCUAUAUUUAUGUGCACUUGUUUCACCUAAAUCCAUUAACUGCCGGAUGUUGCACAUUAGGGGCAUGUAAACAGGUACACCUGGAUCAACAAGUUUAGGCACCAAUCUAUCUCUUUUUGGGUCCGUACAGAGGAAUUGAACUGUAAGAUGAUCUUUGCUGUUCAGUUUGUUACCUUGGUGGUAAUUGUUAAUUCGGAUAGUGUAAAAUCAAUCAUCUUACAGUUUGUUUCUUUGCAAAGUCACUAGCUCCAUUCCUUGUUGUUAAAAUCAGAAUUCUCUCAUGCGAUUUUAUGAUGACUUUACAAUCUUUGUUCCUUGGGUUGAUUCUAUGAUUCUAUUCAGUGGAGUCUACGAUAAAUCCUAGCAGAACCAAAGACUCUGAUACGUGCAAUCAGGAGGCUGGUCGACAAGGCUGCGACGAGAUUGUUCCCGUGUUCCUAUGACGAGGAGAGUGACAGUGAUUGAAAUAGCAGAUCAAGGGCUUGAUGAAAGUUAUCACCAAGGAUCGUUGUUACCAGACCUGCAAAUGAUGGAUUAUUGUAACCGUGGUAGAAUAUAUUACCUACACUUUCUGAAGAUAAUCUCCAGUGAAGUCAAGUCCAAGUCCUUGAUUUUGAGCAGAAACAAGUCAUAGACUGCAAGCUGAAGAAUUUGUAGCAUUUAGAGCUCCAUGCUCCAGUUUGUUAUCCUUCAUUUUCUUUUCUUUUGAACUAUGAUGAGCUUGAGUUCAGUGUCUGCUCCAGCACAAGCGAAACACAGCUAGCACUUUCUUUUCAUACACCGCUGAAGAUACUCAUGUUGUUGUACAUCAAGCCGUUGUUUAAGUGCUGCUUGAAAUGCACUUAAAUUGCUAAAUAUCCCAUGUUAUGUGCGUAUCUGAUGCUGAA